UACGGGGGGGGCAAGCGUUGUUCGGAAUUACUGGGCGUAAAGGGCUUGUAGGUGGCCAACUAAGUCAGACGUGAAAUCCCUCGGCUUAACCGGGGAACUGCGUCUGAUACUGGAUGGCUUGAGUUUGGGAGAGGGAUGCGGAAUUCCAGGUGUAGCGGUGAAAUGCGUAGAUAUCGGGAGGAACACCUGAGGCGAAGGCGGGCUACUGGGGCGAUACUGACGCUGAGGCGCGAAAGCCAGGGGAGCAAACGGG
rnacentral:rRNA from 1 species